CCUACGGGAGGCAGCAGUGAGGAAUAUUGGUCAAUGGGCGCGAGCCUGAACCAGCCAAGUAGCGUGAAGGAUGACUGCCCUACGGGUUGUAAACUUCUUUUAUAAAGGAAUAAAGUGAGGCACGUGUGCCUUUUUGUAUGUACUUUAUGAAUAAGGAUCGGCUAACUCCGUGCCAGCAGCCGCGGUAAUACGGAGGGUCCGAGCGUUAUCCGGAUUUAUUGGGUUGAAAUGGAGCGUAGAUGGGUUGUUAAGUCAGUUGUGAAAGUUUGCGGCUCAACCGUAAAAUUGCAAUUGAUACUGGAAGCCUUGAGUACAGUUGAGGUAGGCGGAAUUCGUGGUGUAGCGGUGAAAUGCUUAGAUAUCACGAAGAACUCCGAUGGCGAAGGCAGCUUACUAAACUGCCACUGACAUUGAUGCUCGAAAGUGUGGGUAUCAAACAGGAUUAGAUACCCGAGUAGUC
rnacentral:rRNA from 1 species